GGAGUUAGCCGGUGCUUCUUCUGCGAGUAACGUCACAGAUGUAAGGUAUUAACUUACACCCUUUCCUCCUCGCUGAAAGUGCUUUACAACCCGAAGGCCUUCUUCACACACGCGGCAUGGCUGCAUCAGGGUUUUCCCCCAUUGUGCAAUAUUCCCCACUGCUGCCUCCCGUAGGAGUCUGGGCCGUGUCUCAGUCCCAGUGUGGCUGAUCAUCCUCUCAGACCAGCUAGGGAUCGUCGCCUAGGUGAGCCUUUACCUCACCUACUAGCUAAUCCCACCUGGGCUUAUCCAUCAGCGCAAGGCCCGAAGGUCCCCUGCUUUCCCCCGUAGGGCGUAUGCGGUAUUAGCAGUCGUUUCCAACUGUUAUCCCCCACAAAUGGGCAAAUUCCCAGGCAUUACUCACCCGUCCGCCGCUCGUCAUCUUCAAAAGCAAGCUUUUGAAAUGUUACCGCUCGACUUGCAUGUGUUAGGCCUGCCGCCAGCGUUCAAUCUGAGCCAUGAUCAAACUCUGA
rnacentral:rRNA from 1 species